rnacentral:lncRNA from 1 species
GAACUGAGUUCUUCUUCGGAAGACUAUCUCCCAUGUAACUUCUAGAGUGCUAUAUACUACGUCCUUGCUCGUUGAGACUUGAGAAUAAGAUGGUAGCUGUACCACAGCGUGCUUUCGGUGUGGGAGCGGUCCACCAGCAUGAGCUUUUGUGUUUUAGUAUGUUUCAUGUUAUGAAUAUUCCGAGUGCCCGUAUUUGUGGUGAUUGGGUUAAUUUUGUAGCACUCAUGAUGCAUGAAUGUCAGCUAUUUGUUACUACUACUACUACCACUUCUACUUAAUUUGGCCUUUAUUUGAAUGGAUUGUGUGUGUGAGUGCCACAUAACGAAGCGAGGAACGGUCAGAUCUUGAUCGGUUGGUGCAUGCCCUGGCCACAUGAGCUCUCCAGACCAAGUAGAUAUUCCACUUUCAAAUGGCGUAGGUAGUCAUGACAUCCCAUAAAUGGCUUAAUGGUACGGUUUAUUUUUAUAUUUCAGUAAAAAACAAAAUGAAGAAAAAGAAACUGCAAGACGGAACGUAGUCUGAAUUCGUAUGGGACUGUCUAAGAUGGACGCAACCAUGCAACAAGGACAGGAAGUAAUUUUUCCUAAAUCUCGAGCUCACUUCUUAUUUUUCAGAAGAGAAAAUUAGAUCGGGUCUGAUCACUUUCAUUGAGAUAAUGAAACAAGGAAAGUAGAAAUUAGGAAAAAAACUGAAGAGAACCAGAAGUCGGAAGACGGAAUACUAGCCGCGAUGAGGGGUCGACAUCCGACUGGAAGCAAUGAACCUCUCGGUUGCUGAAAGCAAAAAAAUACAAAAUACGAGGAAUUGCCGCCAAGUAUUAUCUUCUCGCUCCAUUAAACUAUUGCAUGGAGAGGCUCAAGUAGGCCCGGCUGCAACAUUAGAAUAAUAAAAACCGAGGUGGGAAGCAAUCCUCGAAUUCGACGUCGUUCUUCUGGUGACAAGGAAAUGAUGAGCACAUUGGAAUGGCAAGGUUUCACCAACGUUGGUUUUCAUAAACAAUGGAUCCCCACAAAAAUCCUUAUUACUGCUUACCUUUUCAUGUCUCUGUUUAGCUUAAGCCACCUUACUUCAACUGGUUGCUAUUCGUUUAUAACGCGAGACAUCCUAGCUAACCCUUAAUUAUGUAACCUAACAAAGGUAAAUCAUAGGUCUUCAAAACUGUCGUCAUUGUCAGCGCAAUGUAACUGGCUUCUGUCCUCUCUCUCUCGCCCUGAGAAAUUUGAGCAAGCCGGAAAGACGUUCCAAAACCAGCAAGAGAGACUCGGGCACUGAACCCAUCCAGUAUGGGCGGUGCACAAGGCCCAAUUGGCCGCUUCUUCGUUUGGAUUUAUUGUUCAGCAUCCCUCUGCUAUGGUACCCAAAACAAAGAACAAAAAAAAGAACAAAAAAUUACAUGUAAAUGUAACACGUCGACCUGGUGACUCCGUGGCACAUUUAGUGGCAUUCCUUGCUCUCUCUUCUGGUUCUUUCUCCUCCUCCAUAUAUAAUUAACUUCUU